AUUGAACGCUGGCGGCAUGCCUUACACAUGCAAGUCGAACGGCAGCACGGGUGCUUGCACCUGGUGGCGAGUGGCGAACGGGUGAGUAAUAUAUCGGAACGUACCUUAUUGUGGGGGAUAACGCAGCGAAAGCUGUGCUAAUACCGCAUAAUCCCUAAGGGGGAAAGCGGGGGACCGUAAGGCCUCGCGCAAUUAGAGCGGCCGAUACCUGAUUAGCUAGUUGGUGAGGUAAAGGCUCACAAAGGCAACGAUCAGUAGCUGGUCUGAGAGGACGAUCAGCCACGCUGGGACUGAGACACUGCCCAGACUCAGACGGGAGGCAGCAGUGGGGAAUUUUGGACAAUGGGGGCAACACUGAUCCAGCAAUGCCGAGUGAGUGAAGAAGGCCUUCGGGUUGUAAGCUCUUUUGUCAGGGAAGAAACAGCAGCUCUAACACAGUUUGCGAAUGACGGUACCUGAAGAAUAAGCACCGGCUAACUACGUGCCAGCCGCCGCCGUAA
rnacentral:rRNA from 1 species